GAAUAUUCCCUUUUGCUCUCGCUCUCGACGAGAGUCGAUAUUUUCUUCAGGUUUUGUCGCAAGGCCAUCCUCACUCGUCCCUGAUAAUCAUUAGAGGCGGUUCUAUAAAAUUUUCCCCAAUCUACUUGAAGAUCGGGAUUCCUCUUCCAGCUUCAACAAUCCCAAUUCAAACGGUUCACUUCCAUUCUCCUAAAUUUCUAGGGUUUCAAUUUUGAUCCCGCCAAUUUUAGAUACGCAGCAGCAUUUGAUACUUGAUUUCGCUUUUUUUUUUUCUUCAUCCGAUCUUACUUUCAUAGCUAGGGUUUUACUUGAUAUGUGCACUCUGUUCUUCAAUAAGGAAAUUUAGUUGAAUUGAAUUCAUUGUUUCUGGGCUUUAGGGUUCUAGAAACGGAAUUUUUCCUUUUCCGCUAUAGGCGUUAGGGUUAGGGUUUUCGGUUCGAAUUUAGCAUUUCUUUAUGACGACAGGUAGAGAUGGAGAUUAUCACCAUCACAAAUUCAGGGACAGUGAGUCUGAUUUUGAUAUUUCCAGGCGUGGUUUUACUGAUAAUAAUUUUAAUGAGUAUGACGGGGUUAGAAAUGGUAAGGGUCGGAGGAGGGAUUCGAGAGAUAGAAUUAUUAUGAGGGAGAGAGAAAUUUCAAAUGGUAGUUACCGGUCAUCUUCGAGUAGGAGUGGCUCUAGCAGUAGUGGCGGCCUUAGUGGCAGGCUUGGUCCUAGAAGAUGUGAUUUUUCUGUCAAGACUAUGGAUAGAGAGCCGGGUGAACUUUCUAGUGAGAGUGGAUCCGACGUUGAAGCAGAGUCACUGGUAAAACGCCAUAAGGUUGUGAUGGGUAAAGAGUUUGAUUAUGAUGUUGAAUCAGAAUCACUCUUAAAACACCAUGAGGUUGCAAUGGGCAAAGAAAAUGGGACUGGAUCUCCGUUACAAAGGAAAAGGAAAUUUUCACCAAUAGUAUGGGAUCAAGAUGACCAUAAAGUGACUAAUUUAUCCAAGCUUAAGGUUGUCACAACAACAGUGACUGCUGUUGCUUGUCCACCUCCAUUUCCAAGAGCAGUCGACGAGUCGGCUGAUGUUCCUUACAAUGGAGUUGAAGUUCAUCCUCCUGAGAAUCUUGUGUUGCCGACUGCAGUGGAUCCUUCUAUGGUGACUGAGUCAGUUCAAAAUGCCGAACCUGAGUCUCCUAUAGGUUUGCGUUCGUCUGAGCAGAGGUUGGUUAAUGGGAACACUGAGCAACCAGAAGUUGAAGAUUACGUUUCAACUCACAAUAUAUCAUCUUCAAGAUGGGCAUCUGGAGAUGGCUCUUCGGAUGAUGAAGGUGAAAUCAUUGAUGGGAAGGAAGGCCUUAAAAAGAGGAGGCUAUCUCUUGAGGCGGGUGUGAGAAUACGAAACAAGAUGUUGAAACCAGAGGAAUCUAAAAUUGCAGGUUUUGAAAUGUCUAGAGCCAAAUCAUCCGAAUCUGAAGAAAGAGGUAGCACUGGGAGAUAUUCCGGUGAGGAUGACUAUCCUGGUAUUGAGGCAGGGAAGGAUAACUACAUGGAGAUUGACAGCGGAGUUUGCAAAAGUGAUCCAAGUGGUAGUCACACAAAUACUGAUUCUGAACGCGAAGAUGAUUGCAGGGAAAGUAUGGAACCUCCGUCUCCACCCCAGAGAGUUGUCAACAUGCUUCAGGGAUGUAGAAGUGUUGAUGAGUUUGAGAGACUGAACAAGAUUGAUGAAGGAACAUAUGGUGUUGUAUAUAGGGCCAAAGACAAGAAGACCGGUGAAAUAGUGGCACUGAAAAAGGUUAAGAUGGAGAAGGAAAAAGAAGGCUUUCCACUGACUUCUCUGAGGGAAAUAAACAUACUUCUUUCCUUUCAUCAUCCAUUCAUAGUUGACGUUAAGGAAGUAGUGGUAGGUAGUAGCCUUGAUAGUAUUUUUAUGGUUAUGGAAUACAUGGAACACGAUCUUAAAGGGCUAAUGGAGGCAAUGAAGCAGCCAUUUAGCCAGAGUGAAGUAAAAUGCUUAAUGCUCCAGCUGUUAGAAGGUGUGAAGUAUCUUCACGACAACUGGGUGCUUCACAGGGACUUGAAGACCUCAAACCUGCUUCUGAAUAAUAGGGGCGAGUCAAAAAUUUGUGAUUUCGGAUUAGCUCGUCAGUAUGGGAGUCCAUUGAAACCUUAUACAUCAUUGGUGGUUACUCUUUGGUACAGGGCUCCUGAACUUCUUUUGGGGACAAAGCAGUAUUCAACAGCGAUCGACAUGUGGUCCUUGGGUUGUAUAAUGGCCGAGCUUUUGUCCAAGGAACCAUUGUUUAAUGGGAGGACUGAAUUUGAUCAACUUAACAAGAUUUUCAGAAUUCUUGGCACCCCAAAUGAAACAAUUUGGCCUGGGUUCUCAAAAUUGCCUCUAGUCAAGGCCAAUUAUGUCAAGCACCAGUAUAAUCUCCUGCGCAAAAAGUUUCCCGCAACAUCAUUCACUGGAUCCCCAGUUCUUUCUGAUUCUGGAUUUGAUUUGUUGAACAAGCUUCUCACUUAUGACCCUGAAAAGAGGAUCACUGCUGAAGAUGCUCUCAACCAUGAAUGGUUUCGUGAAGUUCCCCUUCCCAAAUCUAAAGAAUUCAUGCCUACAUUUCCUGCUCAACAUGAUAAAGAAAGGAGAAUGCGAAGAAUGAUGAAGAGUCCACAUCCGUUAGAGAAGCACCGGAAGGAUUUGCAGCUGGGGGAAUCAGGAACCGGUAGUAUUUUUGGUUAACAGUGGUGCAAUCUAGAGUUUUGGUCUUGAUAGUCAUUUUAAAAUUGUUGAAUGUUUGCAUGCUUGAGGUGAGAGUAUGCACCGGAUGGAUGUUCAAUAGACAAUAGCUUGUGCUGUUUUUAUCAGGCACCUGUUUUGUUUGGGUUGAGAUAUGCAUUCUUUACCCCCUGGGAGACAGAUUUAUUUCAGGUUAACCUUCAUUGUUGAUCAUCUUAUAGAAAUGCAAAUGGGACACAACUGGCAGCGUAAGAGAAAGUUCGUGUGAAGUGGAAGAGUGCAUUCUGUCCAUUUUGUUGAAGAAAAUGACACUUACUUUUCACAUCGAAGUAUCAAAGCUAGCAGGUUGAGGAUGUUACCUGUAUACCCUGGAAUAUAUGGAAUUAUGUUCCAUCAGGCUCUCUAGAGGUACCAUCCAAAACUUGGUUCGUUAUAAUACAUCUCUGUAGUUCUAUCAACUACCCAGAAUUUUAAGAUCACAUUCUUUUAUUUAUUUCUGUUGUCGAGGAUUGAUGGGGUGCAUUUUCAGAAGCUCUGUGCAUUAUUUUGCUGAUGUUAGGCUUUUAGAGUUUUAGACAUUUUAUUUGUGCCACAACACUUGACCCCAUGGGUAGAACUAUGUUUUGUUUUUGUUUUUUCUUUCCUUUUUACGAUCUUGGUAUAUGAUAAAUGCCGUUCUCGUCAACUUGAAAGUGGGGUUCACUUGCUGCUUCCCUAUUAAGGCCGACAAUGAAAGAAUUUUGACAAUUGUGGUAGAAUUACUAAUUAGUAAGUACAGCUGGGAGAUGUGCUUGUUUGUUAGGAGCUGCAAGUAUCGUGCAACUCAUAAAAUUUUGACAUUUUGCUGUAUUACCCCGAAUCCCUCUCUUGUUUUUAAUUUUUGCAUUGGCAUGAUGUAAGUAAAUAAUCCAAUUUCCUUUUUUUUUUACCCGACUAAAUUUUACAUAUGUUCUGAUACCAGUUUGAGAUUUGUAGCAAUGUGAAUGUUGUAUGCUAUUCUUGAUUGUAUAAAGUUUGUAGCAAUGUGAAUUGCCAGCGGGCCGUGGCAAUCUUCAAGGUACUUCACUACCAUUAUUCAAAUGGGUUGGUGUCAACUGUAUAAGGUUGUUUUCUAGACUCAUACAGCAAAUGUGCAUGUAGAUUAAUCUGAUUAUCCGUAUGAGAAAAUUAGGUUGAUUUUUUUCCUUUUAUACUUUGAUUAAUAGGUUUGACUUUAGUGCUUCAGUCUAGGAUAUUGCUCGUAAAUCAUCUAAUAACAUAGUGAGUGUUGUCAAUAAAAUGUUAGUGAAUGUUGUCAGCACUACAAUCAUGCUAAAUAUAUGAACCAAGUUUCAAAAUUGGAUAGGACUAGAUUUUUGUUGUAUGCACUAUUAUUGCUAAUUAUAGUGGCUUUUAGGUUGAAGGCUCCAACAAGGUACACACCAAUGGAUCAAAUGAACAUAAUUAAUAGUCAAUAGACUAAUCAAAUCCACAAAUCUAACUAACUAUGUGCUACAUAGGCUAGAUUCCAUCUCUCUUUUCUUCCCCGUGUUCAACUCUUCUCUACCUCCAAAGCCAUACCCACCAACACAAUCAUAUGGCCCUUUCCCAUGCCUUUGGUGAAGAACACUUGGUGAAAGAGAACACUUGAUGUUAACGUGGUAAUAACAUAAAUCUUAGUUUUUUUUCCAAUCAUGUAGAAGCAUUUCUUGUCAAGAGACCAUAGCAUCUCUAAAGACAUCACUUAAAAUUUCUGCCUUCAUGUGGCGGUAUUUCCCACGUGGGAUUCAAUUUCAUUACAAUAACCAUUAAAUCUUUACAGGGUUCUAGUUUCUUAGAAGUCAAUUGAAAAUUAAAAAAUGUAUCGGUAGAUUAGGCAAACUAGUUUGUUGUUAUAUUUUUUAUUGUACAAUCACGUACAA